GAUGAACGCUGGCGGCGUGCCUAAUACAUGCAAGUCGAGCGACCAGAUGAGGAGCUUGCUCCUCUGACGUUAGCGGCGGACGGGUUAGUAACACGUGGAUAACCUACCUAUAAGACUGGGAUAACUUCGGGAAACCGGAGCUAAUACCGGAUAAUAUAUUGAACCGCAUGGUUCAAUAUUGAAAGACGGUUUUGCUGUCACUUAUCGAUCGAUCCGCGCCGCAUUAGCUAGUUGGUAAGGUAACGGCUUACCAAGGCAAAGAUGCGUAGCCGACCUGAGAGGGUGAUCGGCCACACUGGAACUGAGAAACGGUCCAGACUCCGACGGGAGGAAGCAGUAGGGAAUCUUCCGCAAAGGGCGAAAGCCGGACGGAGCAACGCCGCGUGAGUGAUGAAGGUCUUCGGAUCGUAAAACUCUGUUAUUAGGGAAGAACAAAUGUGUAAGUAACGAUGAACGUCUUGACGGUACCUAAUCAGAAAGCCACGGCUAACUACGUG
rnacentral:rRNA from 1 species